CUAAGGUAAGGGGGUUAGAAUUCAUCAUAAUCACUUAUUGUAAUUUUCAAUUAUUUGUAUGAAAAGUGCUUAAUUGGAUGAAUUGAUUAAUUGUUCAUAAAUGAUGAAAUUCAUGCUCUAAUUAUGAUGCCAUGUUUAGAUGUAUGAAGUUAUGAAUAAUUGAAUUGUUGUUGGUUGAAUUACAUGUUCAAAGUAUGAAAAAUGGGUAUGUGUUGAAAAUAUGCUCAAUUGGUGAAUUAUGCAUUGUUGUUGAUGAAUUGUGAUAAGUUUCAUGAUCAAUUGAUGUUGUUGUUGUUUAGUCAUGUUGUUGAUGAUAAUUCAUGGCUUGAGUUUGCAUGAUUCAUGGUUUGUUUUUGAGAAAUGAGAUGCUAUUGGUGUUUUGGUGAAAUUUGUGAAUUGGUCCAAUUGUCAAGUGUUUUCAAGUUUGAUUGAGUCUUUGUGAGUCUUUUUAGUCAUAUUAACCUAUAAACAUGUUCUGGAAACACAAUUGGGCAAUGAAGGAUCAAAAUUGGGGGGUUUUAGGUAAAAAGGGGUCCAAACCCGUAACAUUUUCUGCAAAACUAUGAACGUUCGCUUAGAGGUUCGCUUAAGCGACCUGUAAGCGAACAGUCAUACUGAUUUUUCUGGGUAGGUCACUUAAGCGACCAGUUAGCGUGCUGGUAAACGAAGUUUUCUGGUUGCUACUGGAACUCGUUCGCUUAAGCGAACAUGUGGUCGCUCAAGCAAACUGGUGAGCGACCAGAAAGCGUGCAAUGUGGUUUGCCACUGUAACUCGUUCGCUUAAGCGAACAGGUCCAGUUUUCAGCCACUUUGAUCUUUGUUCUGGGUCUUUGGGGGCCAAUCCGAGCUUUGUAAAAUGAUUCUUUAAACAUGUUUAACUACUGUUAAAGCCUCUAAACUCACUGGAACAUGAUUAGCUUGCAUGAACUUGAAAUUCUUCAAUUGAGUCUUAACUUGGGAAGUUUUGGAACUUUAGACUUUUGUCGAAAACAAACUUUUGUAAACAUUGGAACUUAUAAGUUGAACCUACAGUUCAUAUAGACUUAGGUAAAACUUAUAAGAGUGUCAACCAUCUUAAUCAUGUAAAAAGUGAUAUUUCGGGUGGGAAUGUGAAAGGUUGUAAAACAGGGGUUUUUCAUACGAACUUAAGUUGUUCUUGGGUUAAUGUCUAAUGAUCCUGAAGCGACUUAACUUCAUGAAUACAUGAUUGAUUAAGGUUGUUUGAGAACUUUCAACUUGUCUAUGACGUUUUGUCUUGGGAUUGUCAAAGUUGGCCGUUUGCCACUUGACACGUUUUGGUCGGAAAUGUUUCUUGAACCAAUUGUCUUAAGAAUUGUGGUGACCAUGUUUAUAUAACUAAGUGAAGUUGUAUGAAUGAAUGAUUAUAUUGGAUAUGAUGUUUAUCAUGAGAUGUGUAUGCUAUCUUACUUAGAAUAUAAAGAAUGCUUGAAUGGUGAAACUAUAUGUGAUAGUUGAUGUUGAAUGACAUUGUUGAUUAUUGAUAAUCAUGUUGAUGAGUGAUGAUGAAUACUAUGAAUUGAUUGUGUAUGGACAUGUUUUCUUGAUAAUGCAAAUGUUGUGGAGGUAAUCAAUAUAAUUGUUGUCCUAUAUAUUGAGGUGAAAUUGUGGAUUGUUGUUGCAUUAUCGAGUCCUUGUACAUGCCCAUGCAUCAUAGUCGUGUUGAGAUUGUAGUUGUAAAAGGGUUGAACUCUUUUACUUCGGAGAUUAUGCAAGACGGGUGUGAAAUCUUACAUACGAUGUUUUUAUUGCAUCGAAGGUGACGACCUUGAGGUGAUCCGGUACCACAUGCAUUUAUGUGUCAAUAAGUGCAUAUAAUGACAUGAGUCUUAUUUGAUAUAUGUGAUUGGUGAUUGUGUAUGAAUAACUGUGGAUUGAUGAUUAUUCAUGAUAUAUGUGAUUGAUGAUUAAUUGAUGUGAGAUAUUGGGGUUCUAAUGUAAGUAUUGAAUGUGAAUAUUAUUAUUGAUCAAGUACAUGAUGUUUAUAUUGAAUUAUUCAUGUUAACUAUUAUUUGGAUUAUGAUGAUGUAAUACUUACCCCCAGUGGUUUUGACUGUCUACCUGUCUGUAUGGAUGGGUAGACGUUGUGCAGGGAUAGUUGCUUGGUGAGUCUUUUGUGCUUGGUGGAUAUCGGGAGCUUUCUCCGAUAUCGGUGUUUAGAGUUUAGUCGGCUCUGAUCUAGGCUUCGUUGUGUCGGUCUAGAUUACCUUUUAUUUUGGACUUUUGUUAUGUUUGGAGAUUAUCCGUAUGUUGGGAUUUUGAGAUGCAUCUAUGUUGAUGUAAUUAUUGAUUCAUGCCGUAUAUAUUUGGAUUACUCUGUUUUAUAUUCCGCUGUGACUGUUGAGAUUAUAUAUGCAUGCGUGACUGAAUCUUGGGUUUUGAAUUUUGAAUGAUGGCGUAGCCUCUAUUUCUUGAAUAAAUGUAUUAUUCGCAUGUUUAAUUGCUUUAAUAGAAAUAUGAGUGUUACAGAAUUUUAGCCAUCUCAUUGCAAGCCUCUGGAUUUAUAUCCUUAAUCUUCUGCAUUGCAUGGUUAAAAUCUGGAAUAGUUGUAGCUCUAGCAGCUUUCCACAAUAACUCUUUCAUAUGUGCUCCUGGGAAUCUCUUCUUCCAAUUCCCAUAAAGAUGCUUAACACAAAACAUGUGUUCCACAGUCUCACCUAGUCCCUUAAUCACCUCCACAAGUCCCUGUAUUAUCACAUACAUACAAGCAUUUAAAUAUAGGCAGUUAUUAGUAUAUUUAGUUAUGAUUAUAGCAUAUGCAGUAAACAAUAGUAAUAGUAAGAUACCUUUUGCUGGUCAGAAAUAAAAGCAUAUUGGUUAGGUAGUAUUUGAUUUAGGUCCUCCAACAAUAAUUCAAAAAACCACUUCCAAGAAUCUCUUGUUUCAGAUUCAACCACAACAUAUGCAAUAGGCAUCAUCUGGUUGUUUCCAUCCUUGCCUACAGCUGCCAUUAGCUGACCACCAUGCUCACCUUUCAAGAAACAUGCAUCCAAAUCAAUUAAUGGUCUACAUGUGGUAGCAAAUGCAGCCUUACAAGCUUCCAAGCAAAUAUAAAUUCUCUCAAAGACAGGUCCUCCAUCUGAUUCAUCACAUUUGAUUAUCACUGUACUAUUAGGAUUUGACCUUCUAAUCUCUUCAGCUUAAUUCCUUAAAUGUGCAUAUUGUUCACUUCCAGCACCAUCAAGCAACUCCAGUGCUCUCCUCUUUGCCCUAUAUGCUUGAAUGUAGGGAAUUUUCUUUUGUGAAGCAGUUCAUCAUCACUUUCAAUUGGAGCGUGUAAAUCACUCUCAUCUUGGGAAGAACCUUCAUCCACAACUUGUGUCUCAUUCCCUUCAUUGUUCACACCUCCUUGAUUACAUGCAGCAAAUGUAUCCUCAGGUAACUCAUGUGUCCAAUCCCAUUGUUCUUCUCCAUCAUCAACAAUGUCAAAGUCAGGGUCAAAUUCACUUUCACCCCCACUUCCAACAUAGUCUUCAUCUUCUUCACUAACAUAACCAUCUUCUUCAUCAUCUUCAUUCACAUCAUUUCUGACAUCAGGUUCAUCCAUAACUUCAUCAUUGAUCUCACCUUCAUAGUUCUCACCUUCAUUGUUCACACCUUCAUAGUUCUCACCUUCAUUGUUCACACUAUCAUCAGCACCUUCACCAAUACCUCCUCCUUUCCCAACACUUUCAUCUCUGACCUCAGUAGUCCCUGCAUUUCUAACCUCCUCCAUAACAGCUUCUUCAACAUCACUACCAUCAUCUUCAUCCCUAAGCUCUUCAACCAAAGGGCCUUUAUCACAAAAAUCCACAACUUCAGGAAUAUCCACUUCAUGUUCAACAAAUACUUCAAACACAUUACACCCUAUAGCAUCAGUAACAAGCUCCAACAAGUCAGCAUCAUUGUUUAAAGGCUUAAGUCCACGCUGAAAUGAGAAUUUUGGAUGUUGGUACCACAAAGACUUGAACUUCAAAUAUCCAAAACUGAGGACCAGCUUUUUAAUGUCUUCAUAGUACAACUUAUCAGUAUCAAAAGUGUCUUCCACCUCAUCUACAUAGCCAUCCACAUAAAGCCUCACAGGGAAAGUUACAAAUCUACCCCUAUGGUUAAACCGUAACUUCAAGACUUGGUCCUCAAUUGGCAUGUGCAAACAGCAACAACCACAUAUAGUCAGCAAUUAAAUAACAUCUAGCACAUGUGGACCACUUUGAAUAAACAACUCUAAAAAUAGCAACACAACACAACACAACACUACACUACACACCACAGCACAGCACAACACAACACAACAUUCACACAUGGUGCAAGUGAGUCAAGGAAUCUCAUAAAGAACCUCAUAAAUAUUCUCAACCAUGACACAAACAAACAUUAAAGUAUGUGGGUACAUCAUUAAUAUGCUCAAACAAGAAAUAAACAAUGGCUAAAGCAUGUAUGUACAAGGAAUAUUCUUUAAUGAGCACAACAACCCAAAAAAACCCUAAUUUCUGAGAUUCCUUUCAUACCUGAAACAAUACUUUGGGUCGAUUUCUGGGUCCCACCAUGAUGGUCCAUCUCCAACUUUAGCUUUACCCUUAUCUCCCAUGGUCGAAUCGAGCUUGCAAGGAAGAAGAAGAUGGUUUUUUUUUUUCGUUUCUGGGAGGCAAGGCAAGGAGAAUAGGAAUCGAUUUGGGAUAAACAAGGAACUAGGGUUUCAAUUCAAUUUUCCCUUAUAUAUCUUUGAUUUUUUAUUUCUUUUUAUUUAUGAAAAUGAUAAAAUGUUUUUCCAUAAUAAUAUUAUUAAUUUCUUCAAUUUUAUAAAUUACAUUAUCCACAUAUGCAGUGCCACAUAUGCCUUCAUUUGCCACAUCAGUUAAAAAUCUGCCAUUUGUGCGUUUUUGGAGGAAAAAAUGGGGGGUAGGACGAAAAUUGCAACAAAAAUGAUAACUGAAUGACCGUUUUGUUCUCUUUCAAAAGGGCAUGACCAAUUUCGUGAGUAAGUCAAAACACGAGGAUCAAAAGUGUAAUUAAGCCAUGUUAAAAAUGAGGGUGGAAAAAAAAUAAAUGCAUAAAAUAUUAAAUAAUAAAAGGGGUAAAAUUGAAAUUUUUGGUAAUUUGCAAGGGUGAAAAGGGGAUUUUCAAUUUUAAGAUUUUUGUAACCGUAGUUUCUAGGGUCAAAAUAUUGAUUUUUUUUUUUUAAAGAAAAAAGAGAUUAAUGGGUAAAAGUUGUUGCAGCAAAAUGAGUGCGCGAAAACAAAUUGGUAGAAUAACUUACAAACUGGGUAAAAGUUGGGAUUGGGACAAGUACAAAGGCGGUCAUAUUUAUGGAGUUCCUCUAGGUGGAACAAUUGUACAACAACCUUUUGCUAUUGGAGGUAUUUGACUGUUAAAAACAUGUUUAUGAAUACAAUCUGCAUUACGGUUUCUGUAUUCAUGUUCAGCUACAGAUGCGUAUCCUAUUCCUGUAUACAUGUAUAAAUUGCUUGUUUGACUUGCUAAGGUUAUGCCUUGAUAUUUUCCUUAAGAAUCAGUCGUGCUGGGAAAACCUUUUGCUAAAGUUGAUCUAGAUCAUAUAUAGAUUUCAGAAACUUAUAGAAACAAAAGAUGGAUGAUUAAAUAAAAUCCAAUUGCUGAAAGACUACUCUCUCUUUCUGUCUAAUGUGAAUGAAAAGAAGCAAAGUAAAGGGGAUAAUUGUCACAAGUUAUUUUCCAACAUCAGCAUGCAUCUAUUUAAUGUCAGAGUUACUGGAUAGUAAAAAAUGUUUCCACGUAGUUAUAUUGAUAUGGAAGAGGCAUAUGAUUGGUUCAUAUAGAGGUUUUCUUUAAGAUUUUAGUGAAAAAAGCCUAGAAGUAGAAAGGAGAUCAGAACUUUGAAUUGCUUAUAUGUUAUAUCUAACCAGUUGAAUAAGAUAGUACAAUACAAGGGGAUCAUGACUAGCCAGUAGCGUGAAAGUACAGUGUGAAGGAUACAAAUGGUUUCCCUAUAACUAAAGGUUUGCAUGAAAAGUGAACUUUUUCGAUUUAUCUAUGGUAGAAAAUUUAAAAUCUGAUGUAAAAUUUAAACCGCCUGAUUUUGAUUGAAUAUGGUAGAAAGUAUGGAAGAAUAUGGUGGAUUGGUUGUAGCCGCAGCAAUACAACAAUGGCUUUGGAUUAGUUAUAACUCUUCUAUGGUUCAAAUAUUAGAAAUUCUGAGGUUUUUUUUGGGGGGAGGGGGAAUUUCCAUCUCAAUCCUUAGUGCUGACAUUGUAUUUGAUGCUGUACAGUACGGGAGGAUCUGGUCAAAAAGGCAGUUUUACUUGCCAUUGCUCGUGAUGGUGAUAGUGGUGGAGGUGUCCGAGCAAUCAUAGUUAGUCAUGUUCAAUUUCUAAAUACAAGGUUUAUAUUGUUAAGUAUGUACAAUAAAUUGAUUGAUUCCCUUAUUCUGAAUCUUGUAGAGGAGGGAGUGACCAAGAAUUUCUACCCAGGCACGAUGAACUGGAGGCUCGUAACUCGUUGCUUAACAUUCUUGGUGCCCCAGAGCCAAUGAACAUAUGAAGUUGUUGUGAUUAAAGAAUCUUGAUUGAUGGGGGGACGUCAGUUAAACUUUUUACUUGAGCAAUAAUUACAAUUACAAAUUUCAUACUUGGCAAAAUUAUAAAUAAAAGUUCACAUAAAAAUACUUUUGCUCAAUUUUUUUAUGCAAUUAAUAUAAUCCCUGAGUAUUGUAAUGUUAUUUUAUCAAAAAAAUUGUCAGAUUCUAUAACUUUAGGGAUUAAAAAUUGGAAUAAAACUAUACUGAUUUAUGAAGAAUCUAUAACGACCAAUCUACAUACUAAAAACUGAAAAAUCCAUAACAACCAAUCUACAACAUACUAAGAAAACUACAUACCAAAGUCGUGACAACUGACAAUGUGCAAUGGAGAUUCAUUUUUCCCCCUCUCUUUCAUGAUAACGGUAUAUGAAGUUAAAGAUGUGACGAAUGGAAUGAACAACCAAGUCUUAUUUCUCCCUCCAAUGUUCAAGAAUUUUUAAAAGUAGAUGUGAAGAACGAAAUUUCUCCCUCUAAUGUCUUUAUUUACUUGUUUUUGUUUUUGAAUGUUGUUAACUGCGGGAAAGUUCUGAAUCAGAUAAACAGCUGUGGAGUUUGCAGCAGGCUAAAGGCUUGAGAAGUGUUAGCACCUUUUUAUAGCAGUGUUUGAUAACGGGUAAAUAACAUUUUUUUAAUCAUUGAAAUAGUAAGGUGAAUCAAUUUCUUACUUAAAAAAUGAAACAUUAAACACCACAGUUUUAAAAAUUAUAGAGUCCGAAAUGUUUGAUUUAAUCAGUGUUUGUUUACGCCUCCACAUCAUUAGACGGUCGUAAACAACAGCUUCCCCUAACAUUGCAGGGCAAUUAUUAUUAUCUAACAACAUAACUUACAUUGGCUUUCCAGUUCUACCACCUAAUUUCCGAGUCUUACAAAUUGAAGGUGCAAUCAACAUUGUGAAGAAAACACAGAGCUUGAAUUUAAAACUAAAAAACAUGAUUUCGCAAGUAAAUUAGCCAGUAAUCAUGGUACCAGCACCUUCAUCAGUUAAAAUCUCAAGUAACAAAGAGUGUGGAACCCUACCAUCAAUAAUACUUGCAGUUUUAACCCCUUGUGCUAGCGAUCGAAUGCAACAAUUCACCUUAGGAAUCAUUCCACCACCAAUAAUUCCAUCUUCAAUCAUCUUUGUCACUCCUUUUAUAUCAAUCUUCUUCACCAAACUCUCUGGAUCAUUCCGAUCUUCCAAUAUCCCCGCCACAUCCGUCAACAGUAUCAAUUUCUCCGCUCCUAAUGCCGCCGCUAAUUCUCCGGCAACCGUAUCGGCAUUGAUGUUGUACAGUUGUCCGGAUUCAUCAGCCGCAACGGAUGCAACCACUGGAAUUUGUCCGCUGUCGACUAGAGACCGGAGAACAGCAGGAUCUACUCUUGCAACCUCGCCAACGAACCCAAGGUUUGAGGAAUUAGGACUAGGACGUGCGGUGAGGAGUUUUCCGUCCACACCGGAGAGACCGACGGCGGUGGCGUCGGCUUUGUUGAUUAAAGAAACGAGAAUUUUGUUAACUUUUCCGACGAGAACCAUGGAAACGAUCUCCAUCGUUUCAGCGUCAGUGACACGGAGGCCGUCACGGAAAACGGGCUGAAUGUUGAGACGGCCGAGCCAGUGGUUGAUUUCAGGACCGCCGCCGUGAACCAUGACAGGACGGAGACCGACGCACCAGAGGAGAACGAGAUCGUUAAUGACUGAGGCUUGAAGCUCCGGUGACUUCAUGGCGGCGCCGCCGUAUUUGACGACGAUAGUUUUGCCUCUGAAUUUUUGUAUGAAAGGAAGCGAUUCAGAGAGGAUGUCGACUCGGAAUUGACCCGGAGAUGCUGGCUCGGGUGACGCGGCUGAAGCGGAGAUACAACGACAGCCAUUGGAUGGAAAAGAGAGGUUGGUUUGUGUGCGUUUGAUUUUGAUAUCGAUUUUGGUUGAUGAGAUGAAUGGGAAUGGAGCUCCCAAGAAGUUUGUGAAGGUUUUUGCAGCUCCUCCCAACAUUGCGUUACACUUACACGCACGCUUGCACUGCCAGCCCAAGUUGAACUGAAUGACUUGAAAAUCAAAUACAACUAGGGUUUACGGGGAUAUAAUUAAUUUUCCACGUGCCAUUCUGCAGUUUUAUUUUAUUAAGAAACUCAAAUCUUGAUUAACAAAAAAAAUUGAUUCUCUCCCUCAAAAAUAAAAUUAAAUUGAUUCUCUUUAUUUUGUUAAAAAAAAAUUGAUUUAUUAUUUUUAUUUAUUUUCGUGAAAAGUACUACAUUAUAUAUAUCAUAAUUUUGGGGUGUAGUCAGGAAUUCUAAGAGUGUGACUAGAAAUUUUAGUACACAACACUAAAUUAUUUAUCGUUUUUUUUUUUUUUGUGGUGAUGGAGUUCGAACCUCCGACCUUACAUAUAUUAUUGUAGUAAGAAUCAAAAAAUCUAAUUUGUUUUUACGACUUAAGUCCCCUUAGUAAAAAAUCGAUAUUGUUUUUAGGACUUAUGACUCAUUUGUUUUAGAUUUAAAAAACAUAAAUUUUCCUUUGUUUUUUUUAAAAAUGAAUUGAAAAUUUAUUUAAAAAAGGGUCAUGUUAACCGGAAUCGGUAUCCCCGGGGCACGGAUUAAUGAAGCAAAUAUAGUAGUAAUAUUUGCAUUAAAAGUUGUGUAAUUAAUGAAUUACAAGCUUAAAAAAUGUCUCUUUUGAUUUACAAUUUCUUCUUUUGCUUCCUUAACUAGUGCCCCGGGGGCAUUGGUUAACAUUUCUCAUUUAAAAAUAGUAGAAAUUUUUUGGAAAUCACAUAUUAUUCUUGAUCAAAAAACAUCAUUCGAAAAAUAAUUUUUAUGAAAAGUUAUUUUAAAUAGCCUUUUAUUUUAGACAUUUUUAAAAUGUUAUUAUCCAAAAAAAGUUAAAACAAAAUGAUGAAAUAUUAUUUAUAAUAACAUUCCAAGAUAAAAUAUUCAAACGAAUUUUUCAUUUGAUGUUUUCCUUCAAAAAUUAUUUGUUAAAAAUUUAUAGCAAAAAGAUGCUAAAUUAUACAAAUUUAUUUAAGAAAAAACUAUAACAAACUACUCUAAACCAAACUUUUGGAGUUAACUAUAAAGUUUUAAUAAUCAUGUCAUGUAGCUUAAACACUGUAUAUCUUAUCAAGGUUGAGUUCCUUAAAAAAAAAUGUCAUCAAGGUUGAGUGAGACUAAUCAUUAGUGAGUUUAAUUAUAUAGUCAGUAGACCUCCACACAAUAAAAUUUGGUUUAAACAGAUAAUUUAGUCCUUAAAUUUUAAGUCUCUCGACAAUUUGAUCCAUAAUUUUUUUUUUUUAUAGAGAUGGUCCAUAAACUAUCAAAAUCAACUAAACAAAUUUUAAACUAUCCUUUCAUCCAAUUAUUUACUCUCUUAAUUAAAAAAUUGUGUUUUGUUUUUUAUGAUCAUACAGCGACGUAAAUGAUGUACUUUUUAUAGUAUAGUUUAAAAACGAAAUUGAUGAGAGCAUGACAAUUUAAGGAUCAAAUUCAUACAAUUUGCUCGAGGAGUGUUAUUUGAACAAUCAUUUUUGUCAGACAAUUAAAAAUGAGAAUUGAUACAAAAACCAAAGUAAUACAGGGAGAAAAUAAAAACACAGCCUGAAUAUGAGAGAGAAAGUCGUCACAAAAAUUAUCACAAUCAUUUCUCAAUUUGCAAACUCAACCUCAGAGAGGUUCAAGGUUGCGAGUCUAAUCAUUAUCAAAAUGCGAUGGUACACUCUAAACACCAAAUCGACUUCCCCACUCUCACUGGCUCGAAGAACACAACACAACAAAACAUGAAUAUUCAUUUAUCCCUUUCCCCUUCUAGAAACUUCCACUAGUUUUGAUUUUACCAUUCAAACCCAAUCAUGUUAGAAAAUUGCUGUAUACACAUGUUAUAAGGCUGAAAAACACAAGUAAAAGACGAAAAUGCCACCGUGACAGUUAACUACCGAAAUUAAGAACCGGCUGCAGUUAACUGCCGAAGGAAACUUCGGGAGUUAACUGCCGAUGAAGAAAAAAAAACCAUUGACACUUAAGUGCCGAGGAGCUCAAAACUGCCAAUUUUUUUCCCUACUUGUUGAGUUAGCGUAUGCGUUUUAACUGAAACUUAAGUGCCUCAUUUAGAAAUUAAAAUAGUAGAAGAUAUAUAGAAAAUGUGUGUCUAGCUUUAGAAACUUAAACCUGUCCUCUAGAUAUUGUUUUUUUAGUUGAGGAUGUAGGAUAUAAUAAUUGAUUAUCCUCAAUUUAUAGGUAAGCUAGCUUUAAAUUCAAAGGGUUUGAAUUUGAAAUAUUUGUUUACAAGGGUAGGUAAGGAUUGUGAACCAUGCCUCAAAAGAGUGGCACCAAAGAAAGAUAAUUUUUCUUACUUUUAGCCGUUUUUUGUGACCUUGAGAGGCAAAAGAGGGAAAAAAAAACAAACGGAAACAAAUGGAAUUUGGUAGUUAAGUUAUAAUAGUGUUGUGACCUUUAGGCACUUAAGUUUCGAUUCCACGACAAACAAACCACACAUAUAUACGCUAGCUCAACAAGUAGGGGGAAAUAAUUUGGCAUUUUUGAGCUCCUCAGCAGUUAACUGCCGAAGGAACUUCUGUAGUUAACUACAGCCGGUUCUUAAUUUCGGUAUAAAAUGUGUAUACAGCAAUUUUCAUCAUGUUAACAUACCCAGCAGCACUUGUUACUGUUGCAAUCUUCAAUUGAUUCAACUUGGGUUUCAAAACUUUCUUUAAACCCCAAAUCUUUUAUCCAUCAGUAUGCUAUUGUAUUUUUUGUUUUAAUUUGAUGAUGUUAGACGAUUUUUAUCAGUUUAAGAUCCGACUUCAAAUAGCUGCUGCUGUAUAAGGAACAUCGAAACAACAUGGUCUUGAUUCCUAUGGUGAAAAUCUAUAACCUCCAAGUGUAUCGAUAAUCAUUAAGAAAUUUAUCUUGCACCAUGCACCACUUGAGUGACUUGUGCACAUCAGAAAUUGCACUCAAAUUAGAUUUUUAUUUCAAACAUUUUUAAAAAAUUGUCAUUGAAAAAGAGUCCAAAUUAGAUUUUUAUUUCAAACAUUUUUUAAAAAUUGUCAUUGAAAAAGAGUCCGUAACAGAAUGACUUAUUCCAAGAAACUAUUCAGACCGAUUUCUGAUUUUGAAGCUUUUUUUUUUAAAAAAAAUUCUCUAAAAAAGCUGUAAACAAAAACAAAACAGUUGCAUCCCCAUAUCGCAUUCGCAGCCCAGUAAAAAUGCAGUUUCCUAAAAAUAUAUACAAUUAUGUUACUCGACUUUAUACCACUGAUAAGUAGGAAGAGUUAAAUGUGAAAGACUACAGCAAAAUUUUGAGAAAACAAAGCGACCUUUCGCCCAAAAAUGAAUACAAUGAAGAGAUUAUAAUUACAGCAUCUCAGAUUAACAACUAAUAACCACCAAAGUCAUAAUCGUCAUCACUACUCUCGGAUUCAAGUCCUUGACUAUCAUCAUCGUCGUCCUCAUCCCCAUCCGUCACAAUAUCCAACAUGUCGUGUCCAUCAAAGUCUAUAUCGUCCAUCAUGUAACCUCCAUCGUCGUCAUCAUCAUCAGGAUCACUUACACUAUCAUCAUCAUCUUCAUUGCUGCUCAUGUCUUCAGCAUCACUGUCGCUUCCCACACCAAAACCAGGGCCUAAAAGAGGAUCUUCAUUGUCAUCGUCGUCAUCUUCAUCUUCUUCCUCGCUUUCAGCAUCAUCAGGAUCAGAAUCAUCAUCAGUUGGCCUCCGACGACCAAUUUCAUAUGAUCUGGCUGACGAAUACAUAUCACCUUGAUCAUCCAUGGUAAUCAACCCAACAAAUGAAUCUGUUGGUUCGGUUGCAAAAUCAAGAACACAGCGAUCCACAGGGAUGGUAGCAAUGUCAGAAUAAUUUAUUGCAUCCACUGUGCGAAACGCUGAAAAAAGCGGAUGCUUAACACGGCGUGCAUGCAUUGCUGACAUUACAUCCUCAAGAUUUCUCCUUAAGAUUGCAUACAUAACAUCUCCACGAGCAUUGAAUGUUAUUGCCGUCUGAUCUAAUGAUGCUACACUACGUAGAAGUCUGAACUUGCGCAGAUCCCAGACUUCGGAGUUUAUAAUAACCUGGGAAAACAGAAACAAAGGUCAGAAAUACGACUUUGUAUACAGAAAGUAUAUAUUCAAAUUUUAUAAUUUAAAAAAAAAAAUGCUGAAUAGCUACAAAUUGAAAUUGCAAACAACAUCUACAAAUAUUCAUCCAUAUUUCACCAUUUAAUACAUCAAAAUAUUGCUUAAAAUAUUCAUAAAUUGUUAUAUGAUGACGAAAUAUAUUUAGAUGCUUAUGUAAAACCUAUUAACACAAUUGAUGUAUACUUAUCACAUUGCUAAAAAAUAUAUGAAAACUAUACUUAUGUCUUGGAGUCGCUCAACAAUCCUGGAAUUUUGGCCAUAAACGAUAACCCUUCUUCCACAAUCUCCAAGUUAAUUAUUUUAUGGGUGCAUAAGAAAUACUCUUAAUAAUGAGGUUGAUAUUUGAACCUCCGAACAUCAUCUCACCUCUAUAGACUUGCUAAGUAAAGAACAUUAUAUCUAUAAGUCUACACUGGAAGUCGAUUCAAUGUAAAAUCAAUCUAUAAAAUAAGUAUAAUGUUCAGACAUGCAGGAUUUCAAAUACCUCAUUUCCAGCAGGAUGAAAGCCUCCACCUCCAUAAUCAGUGAACUGAUCAAAGCGAUGAACAGGCGUAGACACUCGCGGGUCCCAUAAGACACCAUUCCAAAGCAGCAUUGAAUCGGCAGGGCUAAAGUGGAUUGAAGAAUAAGCAUGACCCCGCCCUGUAGAAGUAGUGAAUGUAUCUGACAAGGUUGCUUCUAACUUGCCUUCCUGGAUAUCAUAUAAAAGGAUUUCCCGUGCAGUAGAUUCUGAAGACAAGGCAGCAAAUGUUUUCCCGGAAUUACUAAACCUGGCAGCCUUGCACCCUUCAAAUGAUCGGGUGGGACCAGCUAAUAUUGAUGUUGCAUCCCACAUCUUAACAUCUUUAGAGGACGAAGAAAGCAACAAUUGGGUCUCACCAGAAACAAAAGAUUGAACAAGGGUCAAGGGAGCAUCGUGGCCAGUGAAGCUCUCUACCACAUUAUUGUUGUUUGAAUCAAAAAAUUUGAGUUCUCCAGUAUGGCUACCAACAGCAAUAUGCGAGGAGUCUCCAACAAAAGUAAUGCAUGUUAAUAAUGCACCCGCAUCGUCCCGAUAAGUGCGCCAUGGCCUAAACCGGCUAAAAACAAAUUGACGAUCCUUGCGAUUACCAUGUACUCCACCAUACAUAAACUUAAAUUCACGGGUACCAAGCCGAGCAGUCACAUUAGAGGGGGCAUCGAGGCUUCGCUUAGGUUCCGGACAAACAUGUGGGUGCAGAAGAGAUAUUGGAGGAAGGGUGGUAAUGGGGGCUGGGCAUUGGCGAUGCUGAUGUUUCAGAUACUGAACCACUAGAGAAUCCAGUGUCACACGCUCAGGGUUGUUCAGCUGAAGGUCAUUCACUACUUGGGAGGAUGGUGUCAUCUGACCUAGAUUUGAGAUGCAGUACUGAUUGUCAUCCACAUAGUCAGCUGUACAACGGCCUUGCUGACUCCUCAGAUUACCAGUUGGUGUGAAAAGCCCAACAGCAUCAGUAUGCAGGCUGCUUUUACGAACUGAACUCGAGCAAAUAGGAGAACGAAGUCCCUGAUCCCCGACAUUUAGUCGCUUUGCAGAUGAUGAAAA
rnacentral:lncRNA from 1 species